AACGAACGCUGGCGGCAUGCCUAACACAUGCAAGUCGAACGAGACCUUCGGGUCUAGUGGCGCACGGGUGCGUAACGCGUGGGAAUCUGCCCUUGGGUUCGGGAUAACAGUUGGAAACGACUGCUAAUACCGGAUGACGUCUUCAGACCAAAGAUUUAUCGCCCAGGGAUGAGCCCGCUUCGGAUUAGCUAGUUGGUAGGGUAAAAGCCUACAAAGGCGACGAUCCGUAGCUGGUCUGAGAGGAUGAUCAGCCACACUGGGACGGAGACACGGCCCAGACUCCUACGGGAGGCAGCAGUGGGGAAUAUUGGACAAUGGGCGAAAGCCUGAUCCAGCAAUGCCGCGUGAGUGAUGAAGGCCUUAGGGUUGUAAGGCUCUUUUACCCGGGAUGAUAAUGACAGUACCGGGAGAAUAAGCCCCGGCUAACUCCGUGCCAGCCGCCGCCGUAA
rnacentral:rRNA from 1 species